AAAUACCUGACACAUUAAAUACUUAAAUAAAUAUCUCGAAAAUCGCCAAAACGUUUUAAAAAUUUGACUACGGCUAGAAAAGGAUAACAAUUACAUUAACGGUGUUCCGUGAAAAUAUCUGGUCUCGACGGUUAUUUUUCGGCCGAAUCACGAUAUCGAAAAUAUUGAACCGUUAUUUCAGUAAGCUUUUCUGUUUUUCAUAAUACGUUUUUAUCGGGGUUCUCCAGUUAUUAGGAAAAAUGCUGGGAAAACCAAAAACACGAUCACCUUAAUUCACGUAUUUUUCGAUUU